GUUUGCUUACUGUCGUUGGUUACAGUGUCGCACUGCGAUUGUUUUGUAUCAAACCGAGAGGAAUAUUGUAACAUCCAGGAAAAGACGUUAUAACACCGUUCGUGUUGGUGUGGUGAGAGUUCACACGUUUUGUAAUAGUGCUGUCUGAAUAAGCUUAGUUGUCCUGUUAGGUUGACUUUAGUUCAGGUAUUGUUGUAGCAUUUGUUGUGGGUUUUAAAAGAUCUAUUCUACCUCCAAGUUAUUAUUACUAAAACUACAGCAGUGGAAUCGUCAUUUUAAACACGACAGGAUUAGAGUGUAAAUCUAUCAAGAUGUAUCGUUUACUGUUUAUAACAGUUGUUGGAUUAUUCUAUCAGGUUGAAGGACAGUCGGUUGCUCAACAAUGUCUGACAGAACAGAUCAGAAAUAAUGUUGGUACCCGACAAGUUGGUCUACAGCAAUCACCAGAAACAACAACUCUUAAUGCUUUUCGAUCAAUUUGUUCGAAUUUCGAUAAUUAUAUUCGAUGUUUUGAAACAAGAUUACCUGGUUCUAUAGAUUCUACAGAUAGAUUUUUAUCUCUGAUGUUUGAUUAUAGAGCAAUGUGGAUAGCUUAUAGAGGAUUGUGUAGUGAUCUACCUAUUCUUCAAAACAGGAUUCGGUGUUUGUUAAGUACACCGGAAGUGAGACGUUGCUAUGACAAUUUUAACCAAGGAGUGUCCCAGGUUGUAAAUAUACAAGGACAAGGACGACUUGAUGAAUAUGGGUUGAGGAACAU